rnacentral:tRNA from 1 species
AGCUAUUUAGCUUAUGUUAAAGCAAUUACUUUGAAAGUAAUAGAAAGAUUAUUAUUUAAUAGCUU